UAUUUUUUCUUUAAUUUUUUUUCAGCUUUCUUCAAAGGUUUUCUCAUUUGGAAUAAAUAAUUGAACUAUGAGAAGACCUGGAAGAAAGAAGACAGUUUCCAUCCCACUGUUUACAGGUGCAGGUGCCCCAGUGCCAGCAGUGAGUUGUGGUUCCUGUGAGACAAGGAAGGAGAUAAGGAAAAAGAGUUGAGAGAGAGGAGCUGGAUCUGGUUCUCCUUGCUAUGUGGACUGGAGUUGUUCUUGUCAUGCUGCUGUUCCCGUGAAGUUUGAUAUACUGCUAUUGUGUGGAAAGUAAUGCAAGUACAGACCAUUCACUAUUUGUGACAAUAUCCAGAAAAGUGAUGGUACAUAAUUUAAUCAAAGGAUAUUCGCACCUGUUCUCCAGUAAUU
rnacentral:lncRNA from 1 species